AUGUCAACUAAAUGCUCAAAUAGGAACAGUUGGGGAAGGUUUCUGCAUUUAAUUGGUCUGAACAAACCACUAACCCCUACAGAGAAACAUCUGAGCAGCAGAAGUCUCCGUUUAAUUGCAUCGCUCUCUGGGAGAAACAACAGUGCUGUUUCUUUCCAGUGGGAAACCGCAGCUCAGCUGAUGCUCCAACGUUCAUAGAGCUUCAAGACAACGUAAAGUGGUAAGUGUUUGUACUUGUUGCUAUUAACAGAAUUCUUUAAUUUUCCCCUACUGUUCUAUAUUCUAGAUGAUGGUAUAACAAUAAUAUUAAUUUUUUAGUCAGAAGUACCACAGUAUCAUGACAAGAAGUGUUCACCAACACACGUGAGCGCUGGCGCCAACAUAAUGUCAACACAGCCUUCGCAGAGCUGCGGAAACUCAUCCCCACACACCCGCCCGAGAAAAAACUCAGCAAGAAUGAGAUCCUGCGGCUGGCCAUGCGCUACAUCAACUUCUUGGUGACUCUGCUGGAGAGCCAGGGAGGAGAGCCGUCGGCUCACUCGCAAGCCGCGCUCCUCUCACUGAUCACGGGGAACAUGCAGAAGCUGCGCACCGACCGCACCUGGACCAGCGACACCGACCCGCCCUCACCCGGGUCCAGCUGUGACAGUUCAGAAGCCUGGUAGAACGAAACUGAAGCAUGAGCGUUCUAUGAAAGGAUUGUGAUUGUGAUGUUUUUGAAAGUUCCGUUGCCAUGGAGAGACAAAGCUGGAUUUUUGGAACUCGGAAUGUUCGCUAUGACAUCACAAUCACUCAUUUCUUCCGGGUUUUUUGGAAACGAAUGAUCUUUGGAAACCCAAAAACACUUUAUUCAGCAGUACUGCUGUAAUUGAGCAGGAACCCUGAACAAAAUAUGCAUGGUCAAGGAUGCACUUGGGAAGCAUCUCCCUGAUAAUUUUAGUAUUAAUGUCAUUUCAUUUCCUUGAAUGAAUUAACACUCAAGGAUGUUUUGUUUGAGAUUAAAGGCAGCCUCAGAACUGAAACUAAUUUAUUUGAUUGUAUA
rnacentral:lncRNA from 1 species